GCUCCGAUGGCCUAGUGGUUUGAGUGUCCGCCUUGGAUGCGGGAGGUCGCGGGUUCGAACCAAGGCCUGAGUA